UACGAAGGGGGCUAGCGUUGCUCGGAAUUACUGGGCGUAAAGGGCGCGUAGGCGGACAGUUUAGUCAGAGGUGAAAGCCCAGGGCUCAACCUUGGAAUUGCCUUUGAUACUGGCUGUCUUGAGUUCGGGAGAGGUGAGUGGAAUGCCGAGUGUAGAGGUGAAAUUCGUAGAUAUUCGGCGGAACACCAGUGGCGAAGGCGACUCACUGGACCGAUACUGACGCUGAGGCGCGAAAGCGUGGGGAGCAAACAGG
rnacentral:rRNA from 1 species